rnacentral:piRNA from 1 species
UAGGUUCAUACCUCUUCCAACUUGGCAUC